rnacentral:tRNA from 1 species
GCCCGGGUGGUGGAAUUGGUAGACACAAGGGACUUAAAAUCCCUCGAAUCGAAAGGUUUGUGCCGGUUCAAGUCCGGCCCUGGGCACCA